UCUUAUUCAGGUAUAUGUGCUAAUACAAAUACGACGAAGCCUGACAAAAUCAGGAUAAAACUCGGCUUUGUUGCACCUUUGAAUAACAGAUUGGCGGCCACAGCAACCCUCGGUCGAGAGUUUGAUUCUAUUUUCCGUUUAUCGGUGGAAGAAUAGAACAAGAGAGCUAGAAAAGAGAAGAGUAAAAUUGAGUUAGUCGCUGACUUCACAAGUCAAGUCAAAGACAGCGGUUACAAUGACAAGGACCAAUGUCUGCGAGUAGCCAAACAGUUCGUUGCCGAUCCUGAUAUAGUCGGUGUUGUUGGUGCUUUCAGAUCAACUUGCUCCGUCGUGUUAAAUCAACUCUUCAAAACAAAGUCUCAAACCUUGACUCAAAUAUCCUAUGGUUCUACGGCUGCCGAGCUCUCGGAUAAGCUCAACUAUCCGAGAUUUUUCCGUACAGUUCCGAACGACAUCCAUCAAGCGGAAGCUCUUGCCAAUAUCAUCAAAAUGUACAAAUGGAAG